GACGAACGCUGGCGGCGUGCUUAACACAUGCAAGUCGAACGGAAAGGCCCUGCUUUUGUGGGGUGCUCGAGUGGCGAACGGGUGAGUAACACGUGAGUAACCUGCCCUUGACUUUGGGAUAACUUCAGGAAACUGGGGCUAAUACCGGAUAGGAGCUCCUGCUGCAUGGUGGGGGUUGGAAAGUUUCGGCGGUUGGGGAUGGACUCGCGGCUUAUCAGCUGGUUGGUGGGGUAGUGGCUUACCAAGGCUUUGACGGGUAGCCGGCCUGAGAGGGUUGCCGGCCACAUGGGGACUGAGAUACGGCCCAGACGCCUACGGGAGGCAGCAGUGGGGAGUAUUGCACAAUGGGCGGAAGCCUGAUGCAGCAACGCCGCGUGCGGGAUGACGGCCUUCGGGUUGUAAACCGCUUUCGCCUGUGACGAAGCGUGAGUGACGGUAAUGGGUAAAGAAGCACCGGCUAACUACGUG
rnacentral:rRNA from 1 species